AAGACACCGUUGUGAGUAGUAGUGCAAACAUGGGUGUGGUGUUUCAGCUUGCGAGCACACAUGCACUCUUUAUCUGGGCAGUUGACUUGCCUCUAUCGAUGUGAUGCAAUUAUGAGCUGGCCAGGGACACGAGUGCCACAAAAGUAAGUAAAUGAGGGAUGCGGUGUUUCUGCUCACGAGCACACAUGCGCCUUUAUCUGGGUGGUUGAGUUGUCGCUGCUGAUGUGAUGCAUUUAGGGCAUGGCCAUCGCGUCGCCUCAAACCUGCUAAGCCACGCGCCAACUAGGUAUGGAUGCCACGAUGGCAGUGCAACUUGCAGACGACAGGUACAGCUUGCAGCGGAGACGGCCUCUUCAGUUGAUAAAGUGAGAAAAGUUAAGUGAGAGAGAGAAUGGGGAAGGAAAGGAGAGAAAUGGGACCUUGCUGCUUGUGUCUACCAUCCACUUCUCUACGCUUCAUGGAGCUUCCCGACGCUAUGUAGGCCCACCAGAUGGUAGCUUGCAUUGGGCAAUAGAAAAUUUUAUAUAGUGGUUUUAGAUUUUUAUGCCUAGGUGGACUAUGGGGAAGCACCAGACUGUUGCCACCAUAGCUCAUGCCCUUAUGAGCUGCAAGAUACACGAGCACCAAAAAAAGAAGGAAACAAGGAAAUACAAUUGAGUUGUGGGCCAAGACGAAGACGGAGGAGACGCGGUGGCCAAGGACAGCUAGUCGAGCCGUGGCUCUGGACGUCGGUCAUCUUCCCGAUCCAUAGAUCAGGAAAGUUGCUUUUUGUUAUCUUCUACCGACGAUGGAGUAAAUGACUAGAUUUGGUGGCAGGUGGUGGGCGAGUGGGGUAGUACUGUCGUCUUCUACCUCACGUUGCUGGAUUUUUCAAUUAGAUAGAAUGCUCGUGCACAGAACAACACUUUCGUGCAAACAUCAUAUCAUGUCUCGUAGCAACAACGCACACACUAUCCAACAACCUCUAGUGUUCUUUAUCAUGUCUCAAAGUGUCCUUUUUUCAGCGUAUGACACAUCACUGCAUCAUCUAGAUAUACACGACUAUAUCUUCCACUAAAAGACAACAUCUUCUGGUUUAUUGUAAGGUUUCAUUAUCCCUAUAUCUAUAAGAAGGGAUCGAUGGCACUACUAACUUCACCUAUUUCGAUUCCUUCCUUCUCUUCUUGGGUGUUCAUUCUUGGAUACAUGAAGGUCCACAAGGUGAAGAUGCCUGGCUUGUGCUUGGUGUUGUUCAUGGUGGCCAUGUUGCUUCCCGGAUCUGAAGGCAAAAUUUGCAAGGAGUAUAGCAAAACCUACACUGUUUCUGAAUGCACAAGCAAACCAUGCGUCGAGCACUGCCAUGAUGAGGGUUUCGCUGAAGGGGAGUGUAAAACAAGUGAGUAUGAACUUGAUGAUUAUCGAUUCUGUCUCUGCAAGAAACAAUGUUGAUGAUGCUUCAAGAUGUCAAGCAAAAAGUAAUAAGAUCUUGAGGCGGAGCUAUCUGUAACAUCCCAAAAUAUUCCGAUUUUGGAAUGUUAAAUAAAUAAAAGAUACAUGACAGGUGGUUGCAUCUUGUAA